AGGAUCAUUCUAUUUAUUUAUUUUUAUGUUUUGCUACAUACUAAUCGAGUAAUGUUUUUUCAGAUAGACGAAUUGAAGAAUAGAGAUGGCCACAUGCAAAAUGGAGGAGGAGAAGGAGGAGUCAGAAGAUCGCGCACUUAUAUCUACAUCAUAGGACACAACACGCGCUACAGUGCCGUGUGGUGUCCGGCCGGAAAGAAUAGCACCACCCCAAGUUCUCGUGGGUGUCGUAAGAGGCGACUAAGAGACCUGAGACUGUACAACGUAAACAGCUCAGAUGACAAAUAUGGCGAUGCCGUGGGAGUUCCAGUCCUGACAGAAUUAACAUGAGGACAGAAUAGAUCUUGAUCUGGUCACUCUGGCUAUAACAAAUACUAAUAACAUUGCUAAUGAAACCUGCAAACGAAGCUUGAUCUAAUGGAAAGGAGCUGGAAAGCAAGUAAAUAGGAGAGUAAAGGAGUAGAGAGAGAAGGGAAGGAGUAGAGAAAUAAUAGAGCAAUGAAGGUUACACCAAGCUGGAGAGGAGUUCUACAUGAAGUCGAAGUAUUGAUUGUAGGAAAAUGGAGGAGCUCAGUAUUUAGGCCAUAAAUAAGAAAGAGGAUACUUGAGGAUUUAAAAUGUUAGAAACUGAACCCGUAGAAGAAGAAGAUCGAAGACAUCGUUCACAUGCAAGGAGAACAAGAAAGAAGCUGCAUUGAUAGAAGUUUCAGACGAAUCCGAAAGAAAGCAGUGAUUACGUAAGAAGAAAGAAGAACGAAUGAAAACCAUGGAGGGUAUAGAAGAAUCCUGAACUAAUCAUUAACUGGAAAGAUGAAGAGAAAUUCGGAAUUAAGCAAUACCCAUAUAAAGUUAAGGAGAAAUCAGAAUUAAGCCGUUCCCAAGAGCACUGAAGAAGAAAUAUGAUAUAAGCUUUGCAAUGAGAACGUCACCGUCUGAUGAAACAGAAUCCAGAAUUACGCCGUACCCAAGGAAGCUAUAGGAGAAUCUAGAUGUAUGCUGUACCUAAGAAGCUGAAGAAGGAUUCAGAACUACAUCUUCUGAUGAAACAGAAUCCAGAAUUAUGUCAUACCCAAGGAAGAUAUAGGAGAAUCCAGAUGUAAGCUUUACCUAAGAAGCUGAAGAAGUAACUAGAAUUUAAACAUCUGAUGAAAUAGAAUCCAGAAUUAUGCCAUACCCAAGGAAGAUAUAGGAGAAUCCAGAUGUAAAUUUUACCUAAGAAGCUGAAGAAGUAACUAGAAUUUAAACAUCUGAUGAAAUAGAAUCCAGAAUUAUGCCAUAACCAAGGAAGCCAUCCCGAGAAUCCCGAUCUAAGCUUUACCUAAGAAGCUGAAGAAGGAAUCAGAACUACAUCUUCUGAUGUAACAGAACCCAGAAUUAUGCCAAACCCAAAGGAGCUAUAGGAGCGAGAUCCACAUUACACAUCACAUUUAAACCAUGACGGUAAAGGAGAAUGCAGUACCACAUUUAAACCAUGACGCUAAAGGAGAAUGCAGUACCACAUUUAAACCAUGACGGUAAAGGAGAAUGCAGUACCACAUUUAAACCAUGACGGUAAAGGAGAAUGCAGUACCACAUUUAAACCAUGACGCUAAAGGAGAAUGCAGUACCACAUUUAAACCAUGACGGUAAAGGAGAAUGCAGUACCACAUUUAAACCAUGACGCUAAAGGAGAAUGCAGUACCACAUUUAAACCAUGACGGUAAAGGAGAAUGCAGUACCACAUUUAAACCAUGACGGUAAAGGAGAAUGCAGUACCACAUUUAAAUCAUGACGGUAAAGGAGAAUGCGGAACCACAUUUAAGCAAUGAAGGAUUUAAAGAUUAACUGAAACCAGGAAUUUAAAAGAGAAAUUGAAACCAUGACGCUAAAGGAGAAUGCAGUACCACAUUUAAACAAUGACGGUAAAGGAGAAUGCAGUACCACAUUUAAACCAUGACGGUAAAGGAGAAUGCAGUACCACAUUUAAACCAUGACGGUAAAGGAGAAUGCAGUACCACAUUUAAACCAUGACGGUAAAGGAGAAUGCAGUACCACAUUUAAACCAUGACGGUAAAGGAGAAUGCAGUACCACAUUUAAACCAUGACGCUAAAGGAGAAUGCAGUACCACAUUUAAACCAUGACGGUAAAGGAGAAUGCAGUACCACAUUUAAACCAUGACGCUAAAGGAGAAUGCAGUACCACAUUUAAACCAUGACGGUAAAGGAGAAUGCAGUACCACAUUUAAACCAUGACGGUAAAGGAGAAUGCAGUACCACAUUUAAACCAUGACGGUAAAGGAGAAUGCAGUACCACAUUUAAACCAUGACGGUAAAGGAGAAUGCAGUACCACAUUUAAACCAUGACGCUAAAGGAGAAUGCAGUACCACAUUUAAACCAUGACGGUAAAGGAGAAUGCAGUACCACAUUUAAACCAUGACGCUAAAGGAGAAUGCAGUACCACAUUUAAACCAUGACGGUAAAGGAGAAUGCAGUACCACAUUUAAAUCAUGACGGUAAAGGAGAAUGCGGAACCACAUUUAAGCAAUGAAGGAUUUAAAGAUUAACUGAAACCAGGAAUUUAAAAGAGAAAUUGAAACCAUGACGCUAAAGGAGAAUGCAGUACCACAUUUAAACAAUGACGGUAAAGGAGAAUGCAGUACCACAUUUAAACCAUGACGGUAAAGGAGAAUGCAGUACCACAUUUAAACCAUGACGGUAAAGGAGAAUGCAGUACCACAUUUAAACCAUGACGGUAAAGGAGAAUGCAGUACCACAUUUAAACCAUGACGCUAAAGGAGAAUGCAGUACCACAAUUUUGACCAUGACGGUAAAGGAAAAUGCAGUACCACAUUUAAACCAUGACGGUAAAGGAGAAUGCAGUACCACAUUUAAACCAUGACGGUAAAGGAGAAUGCAGUACCACAUUUAAACAAUGACGCUAAAGGAGAAUGCAGUACCACAUUUAAACCAUGACGGUAAAGGAGAAUGCAGUACCACAUUUAAACCAUGACGGUAAAGGAGAAUGCAGUACCACAUUUAAACCAUGACGCUAAAGGAGAAUGCAGUACCACAUUUAAACCAUGACGGUAAAGGAGAAUGCAGUACCACAUUUAAACAAUGACGGUAAAGGAGAAUGCAGUACCACAUUUAAACCAUGACGCUAAAGGAGAAUGCAGUACCACAUUUAAACAAUGACGGUAAAGGAGAAUGCAGUACCACAUUUAAACCAUGACGGUAAAGGAGAAUGCAGUACCACAUUUAAACCAUGACGGUAAAGGAGAAUGCAGUACCACAUUUAAACCAUGACGGUAAAGGAGAAUGCAGUACCACAUUUAAACCAUGACGGUAAAGGAGAAUGCAGUACCACAUUUAAACCAUGACGGUAAAGGAGAAUGCAGUACCACAUUUAAACCAUGACGUUAAAGGAGAAUGCAGUAUACUAAUGCGUAACAUUAACCGGCGG